AGGAUCAAGAAUCGGAGUACUCAAAAUUUGACUCCCGAAAUAGUGAGUAACCUUAUCAUCAUCUUGAUUAUCUGAAGUGAAUUUAAUUCGUUUUUGUGAUUUUAUGAAAAAUGAGUUUAAACGGCAAAUCUUUAUGUUUUAUAAGCAAAAUGUGAUUAAAUGAAAUGAUUUUAUAAAAUUAUCUUGAAAUUGAAAGAUGGUUUUGAAAAUAGAGUAAUUGGAGACUAAUUGCUGUAUUAUAAAUCAUGGUUUGAAUUAAGUGGCUUAUGAUAAUAUUGGCAUGAAUGGUUGAUUUGGUAAAUGUGCUGAAAAUGUAUGAACUGUUGAUUUGCCUUGAGAGGCUGUAAAACAAAAUAAUUGCCAUGUCAUGCUGUUGAAUUUUAUUGAAUUAGUGGGUUAUAUAUUAGUCGCUGCAAUGGAUGGGUUCCGUGGACCAGCCUAUUAGAGGGACACGGUAACCCUAUUAUAUUCAUACCUCAGUAUGAGAGGUGCGGAUGGAUAACUCCUGAGGUUAACACUUUAGAGUUCACUUCACACUAAACCACCACGUGAGGGUAAACUCAGCCAACGCCAAGGAACGACUAUGUUUUCAAAAUAAAAACAUGAUUUAUGCGUACAUAACUUUUUAACAGCCUUGGCAGACUCGGUUGGGAUAGCCCUCGGCCAAGGUAUCCCUGAUAACUAAGUAUGAGGAUGAUUUUGGCACGAGUCAAACUUUUCAGGAAAUCAUAAGCCUCAUUGUUUAUUUUGGUGAAAUGAAUCUAUUUUAUCUUAUUAAAAUGAGUUCGAAAUGCUAAGAAUCAUUUUUAUGUUAAUCUAUUUUAUCUGUCUCCAUUUACUCAGCUUUAGAUAUUUUAGAUGGUAUUUGUUUACUCACUGGGAUUAUAUAAUCUCACCACCCUCCUUUCCACCCCUUUCAGGUUCAAGAUAGUCGGUAGAUAGCUCAUUUCGUUGAGGGCUACAGUUGGACUUGCAUCCUCAAAAACUGUAGGUUUACCUCUUUUGAUACUUUUGGUCGUUCAUGGACUCACAUGUCACUGCAAAUUAAAUCUUAUGCUUUGGUUAUUUGUAUUACAGUAUGUAUGAGUUUAUUUAGCUUUUACACUAUAAAAUUUUUUUACCGGUAACUCUAUAAAUAUUGUUUUAUAAGAAAAUAGAAUAUUUUAUUGAAUAUUUUUAUUAUAUUCAAAUAGGUAUAGUUUUACUUUAAAUGAAUAUUUUAGACAUCUAAACUUAUUUUUGAUUAUGAAAUAUGUGUUUUCCACUCGCAUACUACAUUUUUAGUUAGUUUCGAGAUUUUUGAGGAAAAAUGAUCAAAAUGCCCUUGUGAGAAAAAAAUUAUUUUUCUAUUGUUUUGAUUUGGAAAUAGUUAAUAAUCUCUCAAAACAUGAUACUUAACAACUGUUGCUCACAGGGGGGUAAAAACUGAUAUUAAAGCCUUGUGAGGUUUCGGUUGGCAUUCCGGGCAAUGAAUGUCUAUUGGAACGUCGUGGCGGUUGUCAUGGGCUUGAGGGGAGUACCGGAUCGUGACAAGUAUGCCAAUGAUGCUCCAUCGGAUGGCAACAUCUCCUUCACUAGCUACAUCAAACGAUUAAAGCAUGCCUCACUCAUGUUAAAUUUUGAUUUCACAUUCAGUAAUUGGGACAUAGCUGACAGUUUUGUGUGCUUCUCACAUUCGACUUACAAAGUUGCAUCAACAUCAUUUAACAAUGAAAAGAAAGAUGCAACGUUUGGAUUUGGAUCUUCAGGAAAGAUUGGUUCAGCUUGGGUCUCAUCAUUAAACUGAAACUUCGAUUGUAAAGCAUUCAUAACCAUUUUAGCAUAUGGAUUUUCUACUCUGAGUUCAUUAACAACUUUGUUCUCCUCACCAACAAAUUCUCCCAACGAUUGGCCGGCAUGGAACGAUUCAUCAUGUGCAUUCCAUAUUGUGUAUGCACGGUAAACCUUUUACGUAAUAGGUAUUCCUGAAUCUUAUUAGUAACCAAGAACUUGGUAUUCAUAUAUUGAAAGUAAGGGCAUCAAAUCUUAUUCUCA
rnacentral:lncRNA from 1 species